UGCAGUCGAACGAGACCUUCGGGUCUAGUGGCGCACGGGUGAGUAACGCGUGGAAACCUGCCAUUCUGUACGGAAUAACGAUUGGAAACGAUCGCUAAUACCGUAUACGCCCUGUGGGGGAAAGGUCCGCCGCAGAAUGAGGGGUCCGCGUCCGAUUAGCUUGUUGGUGGGGUAAAAGCCUACCAAGGCGAUGAUCGGUAGCUGGUCUGAGAGGAUGAUCAGCCACACUGGGACUGAGACACGGCCCAGACUCCUACGGGAGGCAGCAGUGGGGAAUAUUGGACAAUGGGGGCAACCCUGAUCCAGCAAUGCCGCGUGUGUGAAGAAGGCCUUAGGGUUGUAAAGCACUUUCAAUGGUGAAGAUGAUGACGGUAGCCGUAGAAGAAGCCCCGGCUAACUUCGUGCCAGCAGCCGCGGUAAUACGAAGGGGGCGAGCGUUGUUCGGAAUUACUGGGCGUAAAGGGCGCGCAGGCGGCCAAUCCAGUCAGGUGUGAAAAGCCCCGGGCUUAACCUGGGAACUGCACUUGAUACUGAUUGGCUAGAAAACGGAAGAGGGCAGU
rnacentral:rRNA from 1 species